UACGUAGGGGGCAAGCGUUGUCCGGAUUUAUUGGGCGGAAAGAGCGUGUAGGCGGCCAUACAGGUCAGCUGUGAAAACUCGAGGCUCAACCUCGAGACGCCGAUGGAAACCAUCAGACUAGAGUCCGGAAGAGGAGAGUGGAAUUCCUGGUGUAGCGGUGAAAUGCGCAGAUAUCAGGAAGAACACCCGUGGCUAAGGCGGCUCUCUAGUACGGUACUGACGCUGAGACGCGAAAGCGUGGGGAGCGAACAGG
rnacentral:rRNA from 1 species